UGGUGAUUAGCUCAGCUGGGAGAGCACCUCCCUUACAAGGAGGGGGUCGGCGGUUCGAUCCCGUCAUCACCCACCA
rnacentral:tRNA from 2 species